rnacentral:rRNA from 1 species
AUAUUGGUCAAUGGGCGAGAGCCUGAACCAGCCAAGUCGCGUGAGGGACGAAUGGUCUAUGGCCUGUAAACCUCUUUUGUCAAGGAAGAAUAAAUCGCACGGGUGCGAUCUUGCCAGUACUUGACGAAUAAGCAUCGGCUAACUCCGUGCCAGCAGCCGCGGUAAUACGGGGGAUGCGAGCGUUAUCCGGAUUUAUUGGGUUUAAAGGGCGCGUAGGCGGGACGUCAAGUCAGCGGUAAAAGACUGCAGCUAAACUGUAGCACGCCGUUGAAACUGGCGCCCUGGAGACGAGACGAGGGAGGCGGAACAAGUGAAGUAGCGGUGAAAUGCAUAGAUAUCACUUGGAACCCCGAUAGCGAAGGCAGCUUCCCAGGCUCGUUCUGACGCUGAUGCGCGAGAGCGUGGGUAGCGAACAGGAUUAGAUACCCUGGUAGUCCACGCCGUAAACGAUGCUCACUGGAUCUUGGCGAUACACAGCCAGGGUUCAAGCGAAAGUAUUAAGUGAGCCACCUGGGGAGUACGUCGGCAACGAUGAAACUCAAAGGAAUUGACGGGGGCCCGCACAAGCGGAGGAACAUGUGGUUUAAUUCGAUGAUACGCGAGGAACCUUACCCGGGUUUAAAUGUAGAUUGCAUGAGGUGGAAACACUUCUUCCCUUCGGGGCUAUUUACAAGGUGCUGCAUGGUUGUCGUCAGCUCGUGCCGUGAGGUGUCGGGUUAAGUCCCAUAACGAGCGCAACCCCUAUCGCCAGUUGCCAUCGGUUGAAGCCGGGCACUCUGUCGAGACUGCCACCGUAAGGUGCGAGGAAGGCGGGGAUGACGUCAAAUCAGCACGGCCCUUACACCCGGGGCGACACACGUGUUACAAUGGCCGGUACAGAGGGCAGCCACGGGGUGACCCGGAGCGAAUCUCUAAAGCCGGUCGUAGUUCGGACUGGAGUCUGCAACCCGACUCCACGAAGCUGGAUUCGCUAGUAAUCG